rnacentral:rRNA from 1 species
CCUACGGGAGGCAGCAGUGGGGAAUAUUGCACAAUGGGCGAAAGCCUGAUGCAGCAACGCCGCGUGAAGGAAGAAGGCCUUCGGGUCGUAAACUUCUGUCCUUGGGGAAGAAAAAAGACAGUACCUGUAGAAUAAGCUCCGGCUAACUACGUGCCAGCAGCCGCGGUAAUACGUAGGGAGCAAGCGUUAUCCGGAUUUAUUGGGUGUAAAGGGUGCGUAGACGGAGAAGCAAGUUAGUUGUGAAAUCCCUCGGCUUAACUGAGGAACUGCAACUAAAACUACUUCCCUUGAGUACUGGAGAGGAAAGUGGAAUUCCUAGUGUAGCGGUGAAAUGCGUAGAUAUUAGGAGGAACACCAGUGGCGAAGGCGACUUUCUGGACAGUAACUGACGUUGAGGCACGAAAGUGUGGGGAGCAAACAGGAUUAGAUACCCUUGUAGUC